AUUGAACGCUGGCGGCAGGCCUAACACAUGCAAGUCGAGCGAGCGGCGGACGGGUGAGUAAUGUAUGGGGAUCUGCCCGAUAGAGGGGGAUAACUACUGGAAACGGUGGCUAAUACCGCAUACUAUCAGAUGAACCCAUAUGGGAUUAGCUUGUAGGUGGGGUAACGGCUCACCUAGGCGACGAUCCCUAGCUGGUCUGAGAGGAUGAUCAGCCACACUGGGACUGAGACACGGCCCAGACUCCUACGGGAGGCAGCAGUGGGGAAUAUUGCACAAUGGGCGCAAGCCUGAUGCAGCCAUGCCGCGUGUAUGAAGAAGGCCUUAGGGUUGUAAAGUACUUUCAGCCGGGAGGCGUUACCCGCAGAAGAAGCACCGGCUAACUCCGUGCCAGCAGCCGCGGUAAUUC
rnacentral:rRNA from 1 species